CCGCAUCAGGUCUCCAAG
rnacentral:snRNA from 1 species